UUACCGCGGCUGCUGGCACGUAGUUAGCCGGGACUUAUUCGUACGCUACCGUCAUCUGCUUCUUCACGUACAAAAGCGGUUUACGACCCGAAGGCCUUCUUCCCUCACGCGGCGUCGCUGGGUCAGGGUUGCCCCCAUUGCCCAAUAUUCCCCACUGCUGCCUCCCGUAGGAGUCUGGACCGUCUCUCAGUUCCAGUGUGGCCGUUCGCCCUCUCAGGCCGGCUACCCGUCGUCGCCUUGGUGAGCCGUUACCUCACCAACUAGCUGAUAGGACAUGAGUCCCUCUCCCGGCGGAAUGUCUCCAUUCCUUUCACCUCUCGGCAUACGGGGUAUUAGCAGCCGUUUCCAACUGUUGUCCCCCUCCGGUAGGCAGGUCCUCAUGCAUUACUCACCCGUCCGCCACUACCGGCACCUUCCAGCGAACCUUCCAGUGCCGACCGUUCGACUUGCAUGUGUUAAGCACGCCGCCAGCGUUCGUCCUGAGCCAUGAUCAAACUC
rnacentral:rRNA from 1 species